CGGACNGGGGUCUGNAACCCGACCCCACGAAGCUGGAUUCGCUAGUAAUCGCGCAUCAGCCAUGGCGCGGUGAAUACGUUCCCGGGCCUUGUACACACCGCCCGUCAAGCCAUGAAAGCCGGGGGCGCCUGAAGUCCGUGACCGCGAGGGUCGGCCUAGGGUGAAACCGGUGAUUGGGGCUAAGUCGUAACAAGGUAAC
rnacentral:rRNA from 1 species